AUCACUUCUCGGCCUUUUGGCUAAGAUCAAGUGUAGUAUAAAUUUCAUUUCAUCACCUACUCAUUUGCUGCAUUUUUAAAUGAAAAGGUAAAUAUAU
rnacentral:snRNA from 1 species